UGGAACAUGAGCAUAUUUUUGCUAUCAGGUGAUAUUAAUGAUGACUUCCAAGUCUUCCAUUAUGAUGCAUUAAAGUUGUCCACUUUCCAUAUUAAACAUUAUUAUCUUUUUGGGUCGUCCAUUGUGGAUGAGAAAAAUGUUACUACCUUUAAAAAGGGCAUUGAGUGUCUUUGUACAUCCAUGCUAUGUUGUUGUGACUUGUCACCAGUCAAAUGAUAGGAAAGUUCAUUGUAUCUGUAUCAAAGAAUUUAAGCAUUGUAGGAAAUUGGAAUCAAGAAAGUUAAUUAGGCAAGUCAAUGUAGGGUCACUUGUAGGAGCCGCUUCUAAUGCACUCAAAGAAGAUGGUUCUUCUACAAACAUUUUUUCUCAGUGCAUAUGAUCUUCCCAGUGAGUAUGGAUAAGAGGCAAUAGUUGCGGAAAAUGCUCUGGUACGGUGGCGAUGAGUCUUUGCGGUGGAACGAAAGGUGUCUACAGGCAAGUUAGCACUCCAACACUUAAGUCAGUAAUGGAACUGAUAAAGAGUGUGUAGAAAGUGAAUCGUACCUUGAGGGUGAAGCAAUGUCACCCAUAUAUAGGCGCGUGUUGAGGAUAACCGUCUCCGAGUUUUGCAGCGUGUGAAUAGGGAGCGGUCAGAGUGAUCCUCGCGCAGAAGCGUGCUUAGAUACGGUCUAGUGUGUUGGAACAAAAUGUGUUUUGUUGGAACAAAAUGUGUUUCAC
rnacentral:lncRNA from 1 species